rnacentral:rRNA from 1 species
UACGUAGGGGGCAAGCGUUGUCCGGAUUAUUGGGCGUAAAGAGCUCGUAGGCGGCUUGUCGCGUCGUCCGUGAAAACCCACAGCUCAACUGUGGGCUUGCGGUCGAUACGGGCAGGCUAGAGUUCGGUAGGGGAGACUGGAAUUCCUGGUGUAGCGGUGAAAUGCGCAGAUAUCAGGAGGAACACCGGUGGCGAAGGCGGGUCUCUGGGCCGUAACUGACGCUGAGGAGCGAAAGCAUGGGGAGCGAACAGG